CCACAGUCAUUAUUUAAGUUUCAUCUAAUCUUAUAAUUUGUUUACUCCUAGACACUUCCAGGCUAACAAUAUACUACACGAUAAGAAUGCAAAUUCAGUGAAGGGUUGUCGACCAUCAUUGCAGAGAGAAUCACUAAGCUUCAUGAAGGGUGUGAUGGAUGAAUGUACACAUAUGGCCAACUUCUCUGACCAGAAGAAAAAGAAGGAGACUGGUGGAGUACAAGGUCCACCUGAUCUAACGCCACAGGAUGAGAGACUAGCAGCAAUAAUUGGACAAACAUCCAUUCAUGGAAUAUGUCCACGAAAUGAAGGUGAAAGUGUUGACAUCCAAGGAAAACCCCAAGGCCCAGACGAUGCAGUGGAUGAACCAGUGCCCUCGACCUCUCACUCUCAGCUCCCAGCCCCACAGUCAGCGCCUCAAAGCACGCCUCAGGAGUCUCGUCGGCAUGCCCACGUCCUGACUGAUGA